rnacentral:rRNA from 1 species
UACGUAGGGUGCGAGCGUUGUCCGGAAUUAUUGGGCGUAAAGAGCUCGUAGGCGGUUUGUUGCGUCGGCCGUGAAAACCUGCAGCUUAACUGUGGGCCUGCGGCCGAUACGGGCAGACUUGAGUUCGGUAGGGGAGGACUGGAAUUCCUGGUGGUAGCGGUGAAAUGCGCAGAGUAUCAAGGAGGAACACCGGUGGCGAAGGCGGGUCUCUGGGCCGAUGACUGACGCUGGAGGAAGCGAAAGCGGUGGGGAGCGAACAGG